GACGAACGCUGGCGGCGUGCUUAACACAUGCAAGUCGAACGGAAAGGCCCUGCUUUUGUGGGGUGCUCGAGUGGCGAACGGGUGAGUAACACGUGAGUAACCUGCCCUUGACUUUGGGAUAACUUCAGGAAACUGGGGCUAAUACCGGAUAGGAGCUCCUGCUGCAUGGUGGGGGUUGGAAAGUUUCGGCGGUUGGGGAUGGACUCGCGGCUUAUCAGCUUGUUGGUGGGGUAGUGGCUUACUAAGGCUUUGACGGGUAGCCGGCCUGAGAGGGUGACCGGCCACAUUGGGACUGAGAUACGGCCCAGACUCCUACGGGAGGCAGCAGUGGGGAAUAGUGCACAAUGGGCGGAAGCCUGAUGCAGCAACGCCGCGUGCGGGAUGGCGGCCUUCGGGUUGUAAACCGCUUUCGCCUGUGACGAAGCGUGAGUGACGGUAAUGGGUAAAGAAGCACCGGCUAACUACGUG
rnacentral:rRNA from 1 species